UGGGGAAUAUUGGACAAUGGGCGAAAGCCUGAUCCAGCCAUGCCGCGUGUGUGAAGAAGGUCUUCGGAUUGUAAAGCACUUUAAGUUGGGAGGAAGGGCAGUAAGCUAAUACCUUGCUGUUUUGACGUUACCGACAGAAUAAGCACCGGCUAACUCUGUGCCAGCAGCCGCGGUAAUACAGAGGGUGCAAGCGUUAAUCGGAAUUACUGGGCGUAAAGCGCGCGUAGGUGGUCUGUUAAGUUGGAUGUGAAAGCCCCGGGCUCAACCUGGGAACUGCAUCCAAAACUGGCAAGCUAGAGUACGGAAGAGGGUGGUGGAAUUUCCUGUGUAGCGGUGAAAUGCGUAGAUAUAGGAAGGAACACCAGUGGCGAAGGCGACCACCUGGACUGAUACUGACACUGAGGUGCGAAAGCGUGGGGAGCAAACA
rnacentral:rRNA from 1 species